CCUGUUAUGAUACAGGGGUUUCACGGUGAGGAUUGUUCGACGUGGUGUUCAGAUUGCAGGAGAGGGGAUUCUUGCUGCAAGUCUAGUUUUUGUUAUUGUAGCUAUAUUUGGUUUUGGGUUACAAAGGAGAUUUAUAUUUUUGACGUAGAGGUCUUCUAUAAAUUCCUUGUUGUAAAAACCGCAACCACUAUAGUGCAUUUGCUUCCUGGGUUGGAAGGACACUGGAUGUAGGCAUUGUUGGCCGAACCAGUGUAAAAAUAAGUGUUUGAUUUUCUCUAUCCCUGCACUCUUUAAUUCCAGUCGACUUUACUUUUCACGUUGUCAACUACGUUUUUUCGCUGCAUAUAAAUUUCCAUUAUUUGCAUUUCAAGAAAGUUUAAAAAGCUUUGUACUUUUGAUAAAAGAUUGCGAAAAGAUAAUGUCUUUGAAACAUUACCAAUUCAC
rnacentral:lncRNA from 1 species